CUAGCAUAUCAAUAAGCGGAGGAAAAGAAACCAACAGGGAUUGCCUCAGUAACGGCGAGUGAAGCGGCAACAGCUCAAAUUUGAAAUCUGGCCCUAGGCCCGAGUUGUAAUUUGCAGAGGAUGCUUUUGGUGCGGUGCCUUCCAAGUUCCCUAGAACGGGACGCCAGAGAGGGUGAGAGCCCCGUACAGUUGGACACCAAGCCUUUGUAAAGCUCCUUCGACGAGUCGAGUAGUUUGGGAAUGCUGCUCAAAAUGGGAGGUAUAUUUCUUCUAAAGCUAAAUACCGGCCAGAGACCGAUAGCGCACAAGUAGAGUGAUCGAAAGAUGAAAAGCACUUUGAAAAGAGGGUUAAACAGCACGUGAAAUUGUUAAAAGGGAAGCGCUUGUGACCAGACUUGCGUCCGGUGAAUCACCCAGCUCUCGCGGCUGGGGCACUUCGCCGGCUCAGGCCAGCAUCAGCUCGCUGUCGGGGACAAAAGCUUCGGGAACGUAGCUCUCUUCGGGGAGUGUUAUAGCCUGUUGCACAAUACCCUUCGGCGGGCUGAGGUACGCGCUCCGCAAGGAUGCUGGCAUAAUGGUCAUCAGCGACCCGUCUUGAAACACGGACCAAGGAGUCAACCUUAUGUGCGAGUGUUCGGGUGUCAAACCCCUACGCGUAAUGAAAGUGAACGCAGGUGAGAGCUUCGGCGCAUCAUCGACCGAUCCUGAUGUUCUCGGAUGGAUUUGAGUAAGAGCAUAUAGGGUUGGACCCGAAAGAAGGUGAACUAUGCGUGUAUAGGGUGAAGCCAGAGGAAACUCUGGUGGAGGCUCGCAGCGGUUCUGACGUGCAAAUCGAUCGUCAAAUAUGCGCAUGGGGGCGAAAGACUAAUUAAACCUUCUAGUAGCUGGUUCCCCA
rnacentral:rRNA from 1 species